rnacentral:rRNA from 1 species
GGUGUCCACCUCUUCCCAUUCCGAACAGAGAAGUUAAGCCCACCAGAGCCGAUGGUACUGCGGUAACACGUGGGAGAGUAGGUCGGUGCCAAAU